AAGUCUGCAGGUGGUCAGUAGGCCUUAGACUCAAGACAACCAAUGGUGUAGUUCCAGUCUAAAGGCUGGCAAACUUGAGACCCAGGAAUAACCAAUGUUUCAGUUCAAGACCAAAGCAGGGAAAAAGCCAAUGUGCAUGUCAAAGGCAGUCAGGCCAGAGAAAUUCUAUCUUACUUGGGGAAUGGUCAUCCUUUUUGUUCUAUUCAGAUGUACAGGAGUAUCUAGUCUUCCAUACUUAUUUUAGGGGACAGAAGUAAGAAAAUUUGAAGACCUCUGGCAUACAGAGACCAGCAAAUAACAAAAAAGCGACUAUAUCGACUAUAUCGUUGAAACUGCUGUUAUGCAAGAUUUUCUCCAUUUCCUGCCUCCAGCCUCGCAAGCUUUUGCCCUAAAAUUGAUUCCAAAAGGCAGCCAGGAAACAUACCCAUGGAAAGGGUGUUCUGUGCCAAUCCAGCCUUCCUGAAAAGCAAGCAGUCUCUUUGCUUCUGCAAUUUCACAUGAUCAUACCAUAAAUAGUCUGCGAUCCAUGCUAUUAUGCUUUUCAUUUACAUUUUACA
rnacentral:lncRNA from 1 species